UCCGUUCUAUCUUCAGCUCCGGACUCCACGGCCACAACACCAGCGACCCCGCCGCACAAACCACCAUCGCCACCGUCCACUUCAAAAAACAAAAACGUCUUAAAACGAUGCAGUUCGACGGAGAUGCCUUCGCCAUUGCUUCAGUUUAACUCACAUGAACUUCGCUAAGGAUUCAGAAAGUGAUGUAUAAUGAAAGAUGUCACAAGCAAUGACAAGUUAAAGUUGGCGUAAAUUUGAGGCCAGGGACAGGUAGGGUAUGUUCAUGCGUUGAAUCAAAUAUUGUUUAUUUCUUGUUCAGUAAUUCAGCAAUAUAGUAUUCAGAAAGCAUGGAAAAAAGAAGCUACAAAGUUACAUUGAAUGAGUUUCUUUUUGCGUGCUCCUUUUUCUUACUGAGAAAUUGGAGUCAACUUGCGUGACCCUUGACUUGAUCCUUGUUCUUUAUUCUAAAACUAUGCUUGUUAGAUUCCUUUUUUAAUGUUCACUUGAUCACUUUGCUUGGUGAUCAAGAAUACUCAGGCUUUUCUCACACAUGAGGAUCAUAACUGAUGCAAAAACUCAAAAGCGUGCAAGCUUUUUUGCAUGAUACGAGGAAAUGACAACAAGCUUGGAUCUUUAACUCAACAUCCAAAUCUAUUGCU